AUCGUGCUAGUUGAGCGUCAGCCAGCUGAGUGGGACCAACCAAAUGCUACUGAUGACCAGAAGACAGAGAGAUCAUGUCUGCCCGGAAAUACGAGGAGAGGCUUUCCAGGGGAAGUCCCGAGGUCUGGCUGAACUUCCAUACAGACUUACUCAGGCCGUCUGCUCUUGGCUACAAUACCAGGCACAAACCUCUCCCCCAACUCCCAAGAUACCAGCCGGGCUGUCAGCUAAGUUCCAUAUCAGCCUCUAGAGUAUGCAGAGACUUCCCAUGGUAUAUGCUGCAUUUUCUUUGAUGUGGCCACAGAUACCCCCAAAUACCUUGGCAAAUAGACCAAAUAUCCUUUGCAAAUAAUACCCCAAAUACCCGAGAACAGAGUGCUCCCCUCAACUUAUUGAACACAUCUCCUCCCAGACUGGAACCCAGGAAGACCCGUGCUCAUCUGAAUGCCCACCUCCCCCUUUCCCACCAUCCUUGGAAAUAAAAGAGCUGCCUCCCCCUCCC
rnacentral:lncRNA from 10 species